CCUACGGGAGGCAGCAGUGGGGAAUAUUGGACAAUGGGCGAAAGCCUGAUCCAGCAAUGCCGCGUGAGUGAUGAAGGCCUUAGGGUUGUAAAGCUCCUUUACCAGGGAUGAUAAUGACAGUACCUGGAGAAUAAGCUCCGGCUAACUCCGUGCCAGCAGCCGCGGUAAUACGGAGGGAGCUAGCGUUGUUCGGAAUUACUGGGCGUAAAGCGUACGUAGGCGGUUAUUCAAGUCAGAGGUGAAAGCCUGGAGCUCAACUCCAGAACUGCCUUUGAAACUAGAUAGCUAGAAUCUUGGAGAGGUGAGUGGAAUUCCCGAGUGUAGAGGUGAAAAUUCCGUAGAUAUUCGGAAGAACACCAGUGGCGAG
rnacentral:rRNA from 1 species